GGGUUGUGAGGUUAAGCGACUAAGCGUACACGGUGGAUGCCCUGGCAGUCAGAGGCGAUGAAGGGCGUGCUAAUCUGCGAUAAGCGCCGGUAAGGUGAUAUGAACCGUUAUAACCGGCGAUACCCGAAUGGGGAAACCCAGUGUGACUCGUCACACUAUCAUUAACUGAAUCCAUAGGUUAAUGAGGCGAACCGGGGGAACUGAAACAUCUAAGUACCCCGAGGAAAAGAAAUCAACCGAGAUUCCCCCAGUAGCGGCGAGCGAACGGGGAGGAGCCCAGAGCCUGAAUCAGCAUGUGUGUUAGUGGAAGCGUCUGGAAAGGCGCGCGAUACAGGGUGACAGCCCCGUACACAAAAGCGCAUGUGCUGUGAGCUCGAUGAGUAGGGCGGGACACGUGGUAUCCUGUCUGAAUAUGGGGGGACCAUCCUCCAAGGCUAAAUACUCCUGACUGACCGAUAGUGAACCAGUACCGUGAGGGAAAGGCGAAAAGAACCCCGGCGAGGGGAGUGAAAAAGAACCUGAAACCGUGUACGUACAAGCAGUGGGAGCCCCACCACCAAAGCAUUCUCUGGUGUUGAAGGCCCUGCAAAGCAGCAUCGCGGUGGCGGAGCGUCGUUUGCGACGCCCAACACACAAAACAAGCGGUGAAUGCUUUGGGGUGGGGUGACUGCGUACCUUUUGUAUAAUGGGUCAGCGACUUAUAUUCUGUAGCAAGGUUAACCGAAUAGGGGAGCCGGAGGGAAACCGAGUCUUAAUUGGGCGUUAAGUUGCAGGGUAUAGACCCGAAACCCGGUGAUCUAGCCAUGGGCAGGUUGAAGGUUGGGUAACACUAACUGGAGGACCGAACCGACUAAUGUUGAAAAAUUAGCGGAUGACCUGUGGCUGGGGGUGAAAGGCCAAUCAAACCGGGAGAUAGCUGGUUCUCCCCGAAAGCUAUUUAGGUAGCGCCUCGUGAAUUCAUCUCCGGGGGUAGAGCACUGUUUCGGCUAGGGGGCCAUCCCGGCUUACCAACCCGAUGCAAACUGCGAAUACCGGAGAAUGUUAUCACGGGAGACACACGGCGGGUGCUAACGUCCGUCGUGAAGAGGGAAACAACCCAGACCGCCAGCUAAGGUCCCAAAGUCAUGGUUAAGUGGGAAACGAUGUGGGAAGGCCCAGACAGCCAGGAUGUUGGCUUAGAAGCAGCCAUCAUUUAAAGAAAGCGUAAUAGCUCACUGGUCGAGUCGGCCUGCGCGGAAGAUGUAACGGGGCUAAACCAUGCACCGAAGCUGCGGCAGCGACACUGUGUGUUGUUGGGUAGGGGAGCGUUCUGUAAGCCUGUGAAGGUGUGUCGUGAGGCAUGCUGGAGGUAUCAGAAGUGCGAAUGCUGACAUAAGUAACGAUAAAGCGGGUGAAAAGCCCGCUCGCCGGAAGACCAAGGGUUCCUGUCCAACGUUAAUCGGGGCAGGGUGAGUCGACCCCUAAGGCGAGGCCGAAAGGCGUAGUCGAUGGGAAACGGGUUAAUAUUCCCGUACUUGGUGUUACUGCGAAGGGGGGACGGAGAAGGCUAUGUUGGCCGGGCGACGGUUGUCCCGGUUUAAGCGUGUAGGUGUGUGUUCCAGGUAAAUCCGGUUCACUUUAACACUGAGGCGUGACGACGAGGCACUACGGUGCUGAAGCAACAAAUGCCCUGCUUCCAGGAAAAGCCUCUAAGCAUCAGGUAACACGAAAUCGUACCCCAAACCGACACAGGUGGUCAGGUAGAGAAUACCAAGGCGCUUGAGAGAACUCGGGUGAAGGAACUAGGCAAAAUGGUGCCGUAACUUCGGGAGAAGGCACGCUGACACGUAGGUGAAGUGAUUUACUCAUGGAGCUGAAGUCAGUCGAAGAUACCAGCUGGCUGCAACUGUUUAUUAAAAACACAGCACUGUGCAAACACGAAAGUGGACGUAUACGGUGUGACGCCUGCCCGGUGCCGGAAGGUUAAUUGAUGGGGUCAGCGUAAGCGAAGCUCCUGAUCGAAGCCCCGGUAAACGGCGGCCGUAACUAUAACGGUCCUAAGGUAGCGAAAUUCCUUGUCGGGUAAGUUCCGACCUGCACGAAUGGCGUAAUGAUGGCCAGGCUGUCUCCACCCGAGACUCAGUGAAAUUGAACUCGCUGUGAAGAUGCAGUGUACCCGCGGCAAGACGGAAAGACCCCGUGAACCUUUACUAUAGCUUGACACUGAACAUUGAGCCUUGAUGUGUAGGAUAGGUGGGAGGCUUUGAAGUGUGGACGCCAGUCUGCAUGGAGCCGACCUUGAAAUACCACCCUUUAAUGUUUGAUGUUCUAACGUGGACCCGUAAUCCGGGUUGCGGACAGUGUCUGGUGGGUAGUUUGACUGGGGCGGUCUCCUCCUAAAGAGUAACGGAGGAGCACGAAGGUUGGCUAAUCCUGGUCGGACAUCAGGAGGUUAGUGCAAUGGCAUAAGCCAGCUUGACUGCGAGCGUGACGGCGCGAGCAGGUGCGAAAGCAGGUCAUAGUGAUCCGGUGGUUCUGAAUGGAAGGGCCAUCGCUCAACGGAUAAAAGGUACUCCGGGGAUAACAGGCUGAUACCGCCCAAGAGUUCAUAUCGACGGCGGUGUUUGGCACCUCGAUGUCGGCUCAUCACAUCCUGGGGCUGAAGUAGGUCCCAAGGGUAUGGCUGUUCGCCAUUUAAAGUGGUACGCGAGCUGGGUUUAGAACGUCGUGAGACAGUUCGGUCCCUAUCUGCCGUGGGCGCUGGAGAACUGAGGGGGGCUGCUCCUAGUACGAGAGGACCGGAGUGGACGCAUCACUGGUGUUCGGGUUGUCAUGCCAAUGGCACUGCCCGGUAGCUAAAUGCGGAAGAGAUAAGUGCUGAAAGCAUCUAAGCACGAAACUUGCCCCGAGAUGAGUUCUCCCUGAGACUUUAGGUCUCCUGAAGGAACGUUGAAGACGACGACGUUGAUAGGCCGGGUGUGUAAGCGCAGCGAUGCGUUGAGCUAACCGGUACUAAUGAACCGUGAGGCUUAACCUUACAACGCCGAAG
rnacentral:rRNA from 1 species